rnacentral:tRNA from 1 species
CGGGUCGUAGUUCAGCUUGGUAGAACGCUUGAAUGGGGUUCAAGAGGUCGAGGGUUCGAAUCCCUCCGACCCGA